UUAAGCGACUAAGCGUACACGGUGGAUGCCCUGGCAGUCAGAGGCGAUGAAGGACGUGCUAAUCUGCGAAAAGCGUCGGUAAGGUGAUAUGAACCGUUACAGCCGGCGAUGUCCGAAUGGGGAAACCCAGUGCGAUUCGUUACACUAUCGUUAACUGAAUACAUAGGUUAACGAGGCGAACCGGGGGAACUGAAACAUCUAAGUACCCCGAGGAAAAGAAAUCAACCGAGAUUCCCCCAGUAGCGGCGAGCGAACGGGGAGCAGCCCAGAGUCUGAAUCAGCUUGUGUGUUAGUGGAACGGUCUGGAAAGUCCGACGGUACAGGGUGAUAGUCCCGUACACCAAAAUGCACAGGCUGUGAACUCGAAGAGUAGGGCGGGACACGUGGUAUCCUGUCUGAAUAUGGGGGGACCAUCCUCCAAGGCUAAAUACUCCUGACUGACCGAUAGUGAACCAGUACCGUGAGGGAAAGGCGAAAAGAACCCCGGCGAGGGGAGUGAAAAAGAACCUGAAACCGUGUACGUACAAGCAGUGGGAGCACCUUCGGGUGUGACUGCGUACCUUUUGUAUAAUGGGUCAGCGACUUAUAUUCUGUAGCAAGGUUAACCGUAUAGGGGAGCCGCAGGGAAACCGAGUCUUAACUGGGCGUUAAGUUGCAGGGUAUAGACCCGAAACCCGGUGAUCUAGCCAUGGGCAGGUUGAAGGUUGGGUAACACUAACUGGAGGACCGAACCGACUAAUGUUGAAAAAUUAGCGGAUGACUUGUGGCUGGGGGUGAAAGGCCAAUCAAACCGGGAGAUAGCUGGUUCUCCCCGAAAGCUAUUUAGGUAGCGCCUCGUGAACUCAUCUUCGGGGGUAGAGCACUGUUUCGGCUAGGGGGUCAUCCCGACUUACCAACCCGAUGCAAACUACGAAUACCGAAGAAUGUUAUCACGGGAGACACACGGCGGGUGCUAACGUCCGUCGUGAAGAGGGAAACAACCCAGACCGCCAGCUAAGGUCCCAAAGUCAUGGUUAAGUGGGAAACGAUGUGGGAAGGCACAGACAGCCAGGAUGUUGGCUUAGAAGCAGCCAUCAUUUAAAGAAAGCGUAAUAGCUCACUGGUCGAGUCGGCCUGCGCGGAAGAUGUAACGGGGCUAAACCAUGCACCGAAGCUGCGGCAGCGACACUAUGUGUUGUUGGGUAGGGGAGCGUUCUGUAAGCCUGCGAAGGUGUGCUGUGAGGCAUGCUGGAGGUAUCAGAAGUGCGAAUGCUGACAUAAGUAACGAUAAAGCGGGUGAAAAGCCCGCUCGCCGGAAGACCAAGGGUUCCUGUCCAACGUUAAUCGGGGCAGGGUGAGUCGACCCCUAAGGCGAGGCCGAAAGGCGUAGUCGAUGGGAAACAGGUUAAUAUUCCUGUACUUGGUGUUACUGCGAAGGGGGGACGGAGAAGGCUAUGUUAGCCGGGCGACGGUUGUCCCGGUUUAAGCAUGUAGGCUGGUUGUCCAGGCAAAUCCGGAUAAUCAAGGCUGAGGUGUGAUGACGAGGCACUACGGUGCUGAAGUAACAAAUGCCCUGCUUCCAGGAAAAGCCUCUAAGCAUCAGGUAACAUCAAAUCGUACCCCAAACCGACACAGGUGGUCAGGUAGAGAAUACCAAGGCGCUUGAGAGAACUCGGGUGAAGGAACUAGGCAAAAUGGUGCCGUAACUUCGGGAGAAGGCACGCUGGUGUGUAGGUGAAGUCCCUGCGGAUGGAGCUGAGACCAGUCGAAGAUACCAGCUGGCUGCAACUGUUUAUUAAAAACACAGCACUGUGCAAACACGAAAGUGGACGUAUACGGUGUGACGCCUGCCCGGUGCCGGAAGGUUAAUUGAUGGGGUUAUCCGUAAGGAGAAGCUCUUGAUCGAAGCCCCGGUAAACGGCGGCCGUAACUAUAACGGUCCUAAGGUAGCGAAAUUCCUUGUCGGGUAAGUUCCGACCUGCACGAAUGGCGUAAUGAUGGCCAGGCUGUCUCCACCCGAGACUCAGUGAAAUUGAACUCGCUGUGAAGAUGCAGUGUACCCGCGGCAAGACGGAAAGACCCCGUGAACCUUUACUAUAGCUUGACACUGAACAUUGAGCCUUGAUGUGUAGGAUAGGUGGGAGGCUUUGAAGCGUGGACGCCAGUCUGCGUGGAGCCAACCUUGAAAUACCACCCUUUAAUGUUUGAUGUUCUAACGUUGGCCCCUGACCGGGGUUGCGGACAGUGUCUGGUGGGUAGUUUGACUGGGGCGGUCUCCUCCCAAAGCGUAACGGAGGAGCACGAAGGUUAGCUAAUCCUGGUCGGACAUCAGGAGGUUAGUGCAAUGGCAUAAGCUAGCUUGACUGCGAGCGUGACGGCGCGAGCAGGUGCGAAAGCAGGUCAUAGUGAUCCGGUGGUUCUGAAUGGAAGGGCCAUCGCUCAACGGAUAAAAGGUACUCCGGGGAUAACAGGCUGAUACCGCCCAAGAGUUCAUAUCGACGGCGGUGUUUGGCACCUCGAUGUCGGCUCAUCACAUCCUGGGGCUGAAGUAGGUCCCAAGGGUAUGGCUGUUCGCCAUUUAAAGUGGUACGCGAGCUGGGUUUAGAACGUCGUGAGACAGUUCGGUCCCUAUCUGCCGUGGGCGCUGGAGAAUUGAGGGGGGCUGCUCCUAGUACGAGAGGACCGGAGUGGACGCAUCACUGGUGUUCGGGUUGUCAUGCCAAUGGCACUGCCCGGUAGCUAAAUGCGGAAGAGAUAAGUGCUGAAAGCAUCUAAGCACGAAACUUGCCCCGAGAUGAGUUCUCCCUGAGACUUUAAGUCUCCUGAAGGAACGUUGAAGACGACGACGUUGAUAGGCCGGGUGUGUAAGCGCAGCGAUGCGUUGAGCUAACCGGUACUAAUGAACCGUGAGGCUUAACCUU
rnacentral:rRNA from 1 species